CAUAAAUAAAUAAAAUUAGCACACAUCUUACUUCUUGUCCUAGUCCUAGAGUCUGAAAAUGUGAACCCACUGAAACUGGCUAUUGAAGAAGUGGGAAAUUUGUUCCAGAAGGAACUGUCUGAGAGA